ACGGAUCUCUCCAACGGCUAUCUCUCCAACGGAUCUCUCCAACGGCUAUCUCUCCAACGGAUCUCUCCAACGGCUAUCUCUCCAACGGCUCUCUACAGUCUUCAAAUUCAUAAAUUUGGACAACCGCUAUUCACUUCCCUCCCACUGCAUCGCCUGCGUCUCUCUCUCUCUCUCUUCAAUGGCCACCGACAGCAACGGUCCGGAACCGCCAUCGAUUUCAUCACUACACCCAGUAAAACCCAGACCGGCGCAAAGUCUGCUUCCGGGAAGCGCCAGCGCCAUGACUCUGUGGACGCUUUAAACAAGUCAGCUUCCGAAUUCAAAACGAGAUUCGAGGCCUACAACCGGCUGCAGGUUGCCGCCGUUGCAUUUGGAGAGAAACUCCCAAUACCGGAGAUUGUCGCUAUCGGAGGUCAAUCUGAUGGCAAGAGUUCGCUCCUUGAAGCCCUGCUAGGGUUCAGGUUCAAUGUACGGGAAGUUGAAAUGGGCACACGACGCCCGCUCAUUCUCCAGAUGGUUCAUGAUCCCACUGCUAUGGAGCCCCGAUGCCGCUUUCAGGAAGAGGAUUCUGAAGAAUAUGGGAGUCCUAUUGUAUCAUCAACUGCAAUUGCAGAUUACAUAAAGUUGCGGACAGAAGCACUUUUGAGGAAGACCAGAACUGCAGUUUCUUCUAAGCCUAUUAUUAUUAUGAGAGCAGAAUAUGCACAUUGUCCUAAUCUCACCAUUAUUGAUACUCCAGGCUUUGUUCUCACGGCAAAGAAGGGCGAAACCUGAGAGUACACUGGAUGAAAUUUUGUCAAUUGUGAAGUCCUUAGCUAGUCCGCCACAUCGCAUUCUUGUUUUUCUUCAACAGAGUAGUGUAGAAUGGUGCGCUCGUCUUUGUGGUUAGAUGCUGUUCGUGAAAUAGAUCCAGCCUUUAGACGAACACUCAUUGUUGUCUCCAAAUUUGAUAACCGUCUCAAGGAGUUCAGCGACCGUUGGGAAGUUGAUCAAUAUUUGAGUGCAAAUGGGUAUCUUGGAGAGAACACUCGGCCACUUUUUGUUGACCUGCUUAAAGAGAGAAGCUCAGUUUCUAAUGAAGAGUUCCGUAGGAAAAUUUCUCAGGUAGAUACAGAAGUACUAAGUUAUCUACGAGAUGGUGUUAAAGGGGGAUUUGAUGAAGAGAAGUACAAAUCCUACAUAGGGUUUGGAUGUCUCAGAGAUUAUUUAGAAUCCGAACUCCAGAAGAAAUACAAAGAAGCUGCCCCUGCCACAUUGGCGUUACUGGAACAGCGUUGCACCGAAGUCACAGCUGAUUGAACAGAUUGGACAGCAGAAUACAGGCAACUUCUGAUGUGGCUCAUCUUCGCAGAUCUGCCAUGUUGCAUGCUGCUUCCAUCUGCAGCCAUCUGGAAGCACUUCUUGAGGGAGCAGCAGAUCCAGAGCAAUGGGGGAAGACAACAGAAGAGGAAAAAUCGAACAGUGGUAUAGGUGGUUGGCCUGGUGUUACCAGAGAGAUAAAGCCUCCAAACGCUGCUCUUUGUCUUUAUGGGGGCGCUGCAUUUGAAAGAGUGGUGCAUGAGUUUCGUUGUGCCACAUAUUCCAUGGAAUGCUCAGCUGUGUCAAGGGAGAAGGUAGCCAAUAUCUUACUUGCCCAUGCUGGGAGUGGAGGAGUUACAGAGGCUGCUGCGGAGAUUGCACGUGCUGCAGCCAAGUCGCGGCUUGCACCUCUUCUUUACCACAGCAUGAGAUCGGCUUGCUUUUGUAUUGUGCAAUCUUUUUGAUAUUGCUAUCCAGAGAAAUCAUCAUCAUCAUUUUGGAUAUGGUCAGCUAUAUGGAGAUAUAGACGGGUUGUUGGUUUUCAUGCUGCUUUAAAGGCACUCGUACAACUUCUUUGUAAAAGAUCUUGCCAAGCAAUGCAAACAAGCAGUUCGUCACCAUCUUGAUUCAGUUACAAUCCCGUAUUCUCAGGUCUGCUACGAGAAUGAUGUAUUGGGGAGUUUCAGUUCAAGUAUAAGCAGAAAUUAUCAAAUAAAUCGAGUCCCAGCUGGAUCAUUUUUUCUUGAGCUAUCCGAUGAAGGGCCUGCAGUGCACAAGGUAGUAGCAACCAAGGAAACAUGCCGCCAGAGAAAAAUGAAACUACACCAGGAAAAGUGGCUAAAGCUAGAGAAGUUCUUCGAGAAUGUCAGAUGACUGUGCCUGAGACACCAUCACCAGAUCAACCACGUGAUGAGAACUACUAUGCAGUUAAAAAGGAACUAUCCAAGAAAACGCCAGCCUAGAAUUACAGGCAACAACAGGACUUUGGAUCCUUUUAGGAGCCAAAACAGUGGUGGUCUUUCAUUGGUGAGUGGGGAUUCUGCUUCCCGACCAGGAUCAGCUCUCUUACACAGAGAUAUGUUCAUCUACUGCACGUCAUUUUGCUCGAAUUCGUGAAGUUCUGAUUGAGAGGGGGGUGGCAUCAAGUUUAAAUUCUGACUUUUUGACACCAUGGUAUGUGGCUGCCCUUGCAUCCUUCUUAUAUUUCCAAAAUCCUUUUGCAGACUAGAAAUUCAUGGACAUGUUUGUUGUCCCUGGAGCAAUCACUUCAGAACGAAAAGCAGGCCCUUCAGAAACGGCAGAAACUACUGCACUCUUGCUUGAAUGACUUCAAAAAUGUCGCAAGAGCACUUAGACAGAAACUUCUCACGUAUUACGCCAGGAAUGAACCUCAUGAUCAAUGAAUUUUCAUAUCGAAUUCGGUGAGAGAGAUGGGAAUUCUUUGUUUUCGCAUCCAGUGAAACCAUCAAGAGAUCUCCCUUCUUACAAGUUUUCCCCGGAACGUUUAUGUUAGAUUCUGCAACCUCCACCACACACCAAUGAUAUAACACAAAUGCAACGUAGAAUCUCGAAUCCUGAAGCAGAAAGCAAACCCAAUGCGGCUUUCAGGAAGAGGAUUCUGAAGAAUAUGGGAGUCCUACUGCAAUUGCAGAUUACAUAAAGUGGCGGACUGAAGCACUUUUGAGGAAGACCAGAACUGCAGUUUCUUCUAAGCCUAUUAUUAUCAGAGCAGAAUAUGCGCAUUGUCCUAAUCUCACCAUUAUUGAUACUCGUGGCUUUGUUCUCAAG